rnacentral:rRNA from 1 species
GAUGAACGCUGGCGGCGUGCCUAACACAUGCAAGUCGAACGGACGAGAAGAGCUUGCUCUUCGAGUUAGUGGCGGACGGGUGAGUAACGCGUGAGCAAUCUGCCUUUCAGAGGGGGAUAACAUUGGGAAACCGGUGCUAAUACCGCAUGAUGUGCGAGGGUCGCAUGACUCUUGUACCAAAGGAGCAAUCCGCUGAAAGAUGAGCUCGCGUCUGAUUAGCUAGUUGGUGAGGUAACGGCCCACCAAGGCGACGAUCAGUAGCCGGACUGAGAGGUUGAACGGCCACAUUGGGACUGAGACACGGCCCAGACUCCUACGGGAGGCAGCAGUGGGGAAUCUUCCGCAAUGGACGAAAGUCUGACGGAGCAAUGCCGCGUGAGUGAUGAAGGUUUUCGGACCGUAAAGCUCUUUUACCAGGGACGAAGAACGUGACGGUACCUGGAGAAAAAGCAACGGCUAACUACGUG